UGUGUAGGUGGCGUGUUAAGUCAGUGGUGAAAGCCUGCAGCUCAACUGUAGAGGUGCCAUUGAUACUGACAUGCUUGAGUAUGGACGAGGUAAGCGGAAUUUGUGGUGUAGCGGUGAAAUGCAUAGAUACCACAAGGAACACCGAUAGCGAAGGCAGCUUACUGGACCAUAACUGACACUGAGGCACGAAAGCGUGGGGAGCGAACAGGAUUAGAUACCCUGGUAGUCC
rnacentral:rRNA from 1 species